CCUACGGGGGGCAGCAGUGGGGAAUAUUGCACAAUGGGGGAAACCCUGAUGCAGCAACGCCGCGUGAAGGAAGACGGUUUUCGGAUUGUAAACUUCUGUUCUUAGUGAAGAAUAAUGACGGUAGCUAAGGAGCAAGCCACGGCUAACUACGUGCCAGCAGCCGCGGUAAUACGUAGGUGGCAAGCGUUGUCCGGAAUUACUGGGUGUAAAGGGAGCGCAGGCGGGAAGCCAAGUCAGCUGUGAAAACUACGGGCUUAACUUGUAGACUGCAGUUGAAACUGGCAAACUGGAGUGUGUGAGAGGAUAGUGGAAUUCCAGGUGUAGGAGUGAAAUCCGUAGAUAUCUGGAGGAACAUCAGUGGCGAAGGCGACUAUCUGGCACAUAACUGACGCUGAGGAGCGAAAGCGUGGGUAGCAAACAGGAUUAGAUACCCCAGUAGUC
rnacentral:rRNA from 1 species